rnacentral:miRNA from 1 species
AGAGAGAGAGAGAGAGAGAGAGAUACCAAGAGAGAAAAGGUAUCCUCUCUCUCUCUCUCUCUCUCUCUCUCUCUCUCUCUCUCUCUCCC